rnacentral:tRNA from 1 species
GGGGGCAUGGCGAAAUCGGUAGACGCAGCGGACUUAAAAUCCGCAGGUGGCAACACUGUGGGGGUUCAAGUCCCCCUGCCCCCA